GAUAAAGAACGCAGCGAAAUGCGAUAAGUAAUGUGAAUUGCAGAAUUCAGUGAAUCAUCGAAUCUUUGAACGCAUCUUGCGCUCCUUGGUAUUCUGAGGAGCAUGCCUGUUUGAGUGUCAUUAAAUUCUCAACUACACUGACUUUGAAUUGGUGUGGCUUGGAUUUGGGGGGAAAAUUGUUGUGGGCUUUUUGUAUAGUCUGCUCCCCUGAAAUUGAUUAGCGGUACCUUUGUGGAACUGUCUACAGGUGUGAUAAUUAUCUACAUCUUAGACAUCUGCUGGAAUGCUGCUCUCUAAACCUUACUUGUAUUGACAAUCUUGACCUCAAAUCAGGUAGGACUACCCGCUGAACUUAAGCAUAUCAAUAAGCGGAGGA
rnacentral:misc_RNA from 1 species